rnacentral:lncRNA from 1 species
AGGAAAUGAUAUUUCAGUGUUCUUGAAAUACUAGAGAGUUCUGAAGCUACAUGAUAUUUCUUUUUCAUCCCCAAAUAUAACAUAAUCUUGCAGCAAAGUCCUCUAUAUUUUGCAGUCAAUACCUCGAAGCUUUUAUUUUCUUACAAACUAGGCCAAAUUUUUUGACAAGUCAUGCGAACUUUUGCUAGAAAUUUUGGCAGCAUAACGCGUUGGGAAGAAAUACACAAACGACCGUGUCUUCCGAUUUGUAUUUCACAUGGAAGGGAAACGUCGCAUGCCAUUACAACAACUACACCACCAUCUCCUUCAUUUUACUUGACAACUGCAGAGGUCAAGCAUGCAGCCUUGCCGUCUAGUGCAGUUGUACAACAAUCUCUCUUUUACAACCUACUAAGUUACUCAUCAUCUAGAUACAAUUUUUCACCAUCUGCCCUUGCUACAACGCCUUCAGCAAGCUUAGGAAGCGCUUUGCUUCUGCACGUCAGCAUCCAAUGUCCAUCUUAGUGGGCAGCUCCAUGUCCCAUGUCCCUUGCUGUAAACAACGUUGUUGCUCCUCAUGAUGCCUCUGCCUUGACCCUUUCCUGUGCUGGCAUAGCCACUAGAACUGCGAUUAAAUUCAGCAAAACCAUCUUUUCUUGCCUUCACAACCUGCAUUCUCUCCGGCCCAACAAAACAAAAAUGCCAACACACGCUAACAGGUUAAUUUACACAUAUAAGUAGCCAAACAAACUAAACCAACUCUGGAUUGUUAAUGACAAAAGUUGAAAAAAAAAAGAAAUUACGCAGAUUGGAUUCUUUUUAUUUCAAACAAGCAAUAUCCGGCUGCGACUAAGUUAUUAAAAAAUAUAUUGUAUGUGUCCGGUACUAUACAUACAACAAUGUUCACCUUCCUCCCACUCCCAGACUGCUUUUUUUGUAACUAAAGCCAUCAAAAGAAUGCAUUAAUACUAGAGUAUUCUAAAUAAAAAACUACAUGCUAAAUCACGACAGGAGAGUAGAGUUAUUUGAAUUAUCUUUAGUCUUAGGCAUGCUAGCAACAAUACUAGAGCGUUCAGAGCAAGUGAAAAUGAAAAAUGGCAGCAAGUCCAUAGACAAUCUGUAGCUAUUAGUAGUGUGCAACAAAAAAGUAACAGUUUUUUUAUCUCGGCCUCAAGGUACCUCAAUGUUUAAUUCAAAAAGGUUCAGAUGAAGUCAAUGACUUUUCUAUGCUAUGAUGUUCCAUAAAAAUUAGGGUGCUUAAUGCACCCCAAGGUGGUGUUGAAUGCUCUGUUUUGUAAAUAUGACAGCCUGUGGUUUGCUUGUUCUGAAGUUAGUUUGGUGAUCACAACCAAUAUGACUCACUAGUAGGUUUUCUCUUAUCCGAUUUAAUCUUGUACUGGAACUAGUGUGGUUGCUUCAUGAUAGUGGUGAGCUUGGUGUCAUUUGAAAAUAAUAACAUAAAGCAGAAAAUUCUCACUAAUAAGCCUAUCUCCACGUUAGGUUCAUACACCAAAAAACAAAUUCAUAAAAGAUAAAAAGCAAGAAGCAUGUACAAACUGCUGACUAGAAAAGAGGUGAAUGUUUUUUUUUGAAACGUCAAGAGGUGAAUGUGACUGAGAGAAUUCAGAGAUUUUGGAAGAGAAGCUUACUCAGGUAUGCAACCCCCAUUAACCUUGGAGCCAUAUAUGCGUCUCCUCAAGCUAGCAAAGGCCGGCGUUCACCAUUGCACUUCUUCGUUACGGACCAAACCAGUAGGAAGAUAUCUGUAAUGAAAUUUGCAUAAUCAAGAUCCAAUGUAGUCCUAUAAACUUUACCUGCCCAAGAGAAAAAAACUACAGUACAGUACUGACGAAACAAUGAAUAUCCUGAUGCAAACAAAUCAAUCAGGAAAGAGAUUAAGAAAGUACUUGCUAGGUAAGCUCCAACCUCUCCUGAUCAAUAAGGAUAUUGCCAUGACUAUCUGUAUCACCAAGGAUAUUGCCAUGAUUAAGAAAGUAACUCUUUUCCUCAUUUAAUAUUAAUCUCACAUGAAGUUUUGCAUUCCAUUGCAAUUAAUUAUCAUCAUUGACAGGAAACAUAAAUGAAAUAGUUGCAUAAACUUGUGUGAGGAUUUUUUUUGUUGCUAAUAUGAUUUGCAGAACGGUUCUAUUAUUCAAACUUGAGGGGGUACAGUUUAUUUAUGCUAUGCUGCUGCGAACAAUGUCAUCCCCGUCACACCACAUGCACAAGUGAAGCUAGCUGCUGCCAAAGAUGGGAUGCUGGCAUGUCCACAGAAAGAAGCUCCAGAUGAUUGCUGAUGAAAAUUGCGACAACAUGAUGCUUGCACAUCCAUGCUAAAAGUUCACGAUAAUUGACAAUGACAUUGGUGACAACGGGAUACACACAAAGUGACGCGAGAAGCUCUAGAAGGUCGACGAUAACUGUUAAUUGGGGAGCUAGAGGCGCUCUUACCGCAAGGGUUUGCAAGAAGAAGCUGCCAAAAGAUUUCAAGUUGAAAAUCUAGACAAAUACAGGUUUUGGAAGUUCUGUGUUUUGCAUCUUCAGGAUACUACAUUAGUAUGAAACUGAAUAAGAUGGCCAAUCAAAUAUGAGCUUAAACUGGUACGUUACUGUCAGUCUAAUUGAUACUGAAUACGUCCUAUUCCAUGCCACACCUAAACAUAAAAUUUAGUUCAAUGCAUACAUCCAUUGUCCUUGAAGAUUGAACAGUAAGGAGCCUCAGUAUUAUCACUCCAAUGAGAUCAAGCCAAGGUAUCAUCACCGGUACAAAGCAAGAACUAAAAAUUUAACUCUCAAGGUUGGAAGUGGCCACAACAAAACCAAUCACGUAACAACAAUAAUCACAUCUAUCAAUCAAUUCUGAGGCUACAGUAUGCAUCAACAUGCAUCACAGAAAGAGGAAUACCACGGUAAGUUAAAAACAUAAAAUGCAGCUCAUAACUAACAAGUGCAAAUCCAGUGACAAAUUUAACAACACCACUCCAAUAUCUAGAUAAAGGGAACCUUGCAGAAUCCUGCAACACAUAAUGGAUACCUCUGAACAGAAGUAUCAUGCACCCACCUCUUACAAGUAGUAUCCAUAGCUCGAGCUUGGAGACUAGAGCAAGGAGCAAUCAUCUAGAAAAACAUAAACAAAAACAACACACAUGUACAAGCAACCAUUUAAACAAACAAUGGACUACAUGGGAAGCAAAUGACUAGUCCAUAUGUCUGCUAGUUGCCUUCUGACAAUGUCUUGACUCUGAUGAAGCAAAAACCAAGUGCUAUGACCGAACUUGCAUGUUUACUCUUUUAGAUAACUGUUGCACAGACCCAAAAAAGUCUCAAUAUCCAAUCGCCCGAAAAUAUAGGAUUGAAUUAUUUUUUACCAAAUAGACUUCUUGGAUGCCGAUUUAGUGGAAACUUUAGAGCAGUGACAUGAAGACAGUAUGCGAUCAAUAUGUCCAAUUAGGAAAAGAAAGUCAACUCUUGAUUGUAAAACAUUAAUCAUGCAUACCCAAAUUCGUUGGUUAUAAUCAAAUGGUUGAAAAGGAAUUAGACUGGUUUUAUUAUCCAAAUUUCAUUAUCAAGAAACAUCUCCUAUCAGAUAGAACUAGACACUUUGUAUUACAUUCAUCAUGCAAAACUAGAUCAAAUUAACACAAACACUGAAUAGCAAGUACACGAAACCCAAAAAUAAGUAUAUUUUCUCUAAAAAGACAAGAAUGUGGAUUUCAAGGGGUAUUGGAUCAAUUAUACUCCCUCCAUUCUGAUUUACUCGUCGUGGUUUUAGUUCAAAUUUGAACUAAAACCACAACGAGUAAAUCAGAACAGAGGGAGUACAUAGUACUGAAAAAUUCACCUCGUGGUCAACUUUAAACUCGAGAAAUGUGGCAACAGGAAAGCAUCUUUAGAAUGAAAGGAAGAACCAAUGUUGAUGCAUAUAUAAGAAAUGGCACUAACGUUUACUUGCCUUGGCUUGUCUGAAUCUUCUGAACAAACACCCAACUGACCCGUCAUCCUCGACAGGAACAUACCGCCAUCCAUAUCUGGCCCACCGUCCAGAUUUUAAAUUUUCUGUUCUCCGGUGACUUCCUUCCCGCAUUUCUCUGCUUCCACGUGCGUACAACCAUCCGCAUCACUGCAUCGGAAGGUUCACAAGAAAACUAUCAGUUUGAGUGGCACCAUGCCAAGGUUUCCUUAGAGAAUAUUUGGAUGGAGUAAGAGUGUUCUCUUAUGGAGAGAGGGAUGCCCAAACCACAAGCCUGCCAUUGUGGACUGAGUGUGGCGGGCACAUACAUGGCCGAGGUGCCGAAGUCAGCUGUGUGGCCACAGAACUAGACCGUGCUCAUACUGACGGCCAACACACAUGGUCCGCCGGGCAUGAACACGACAC